UCACGUGAAAAAGAAGUUCUUCAGGUAUACGAUAGAAAUGAAUACCUUAUUCCUUUCUUUCAUACAUGAAAAGUAUAUGAUAAAUUUGAAUGCAACAAUUUGGAAUCAUAUGUUUUCCAUGAUUGAAAGGCUUAAUGCUUCUUACUGGACCCUGCAGGAUUUUUAUUUGGUUAAGUAGUUAUUGCGUCCAGAUAUAUUUUAAAUUGUGUCUGCACUGAUUCUUUUUGGAAUAUGCUUUAUUUUUCAAAUUAUUUUUUUGAUGUUACCAGCUAAAGAAAGAGGGAAGGAGG
rnacentral:misc_RNA from 1 species